rnacentral:pre_miRNA from 1 species
UUUCUUCACUCUCUUUGAGGGCUUCGAACUGUAGUUUAUUGAGCUUGAAGCCUUCGAAAGAGAGUGAAAAA